GGAGGCAACAGAGCCAAAGCCCUUGGGGCUGAAGAUCCAGCACGGCUGGGGAGGCUUUGGCAUUUCUGCACAAUGCUGCUCAAUCCUGCUUGGGAGCCCAGCCUCAGGUGCGGAAUGAAGCCAAGCAAGCUCGAGGGAAACUGUGUGCUGAAUCCCAGACUGCGUAUUAGAGCUGAUCUUCAUCUCUGCUCGGAAAAGCUUCACGGGCCAAAAGAGAAUGGAGAUGAGGAAGGCAAUGGAGAAUGAUGAGGACUAUUUGCAGUCAGCACCCGUAAGCUUUGUGAAAGAAUCAGGUGCAUUUCUGUAGUGGUAGAAAGCGUAGCUGGAAAGACUUCCUAAGGACGUCAAGUCCAAUUCAUUGUUCUCAGUUAGAGCAAUCCCGUAGUUUAGACUCCUGAUAAGGUAUUUGUCUGUAGGCAGCUGCCAACUUGUCCAGCUAAUCCAAUUCAGCCUGGAAAACAAGCAAGCAAGCAAUCAAUCAAAAAGCACAGAAACCUGCAGUUUAUGGAGUGCAACUGUCUCCUUUCUAAUCUCAUGGGUUUCACCAAGUUUUGGGUGACUCCAGGGCUGGCUUGCCAGGGAGACUUUCUUGAAUUGCUGGCAGAUCAGCCAGAAGGGCAAUACAAGGCCCUGGCUAAACACAAUCUGUAGGCUGCUUCUAGAUCAACAGUUUCCUUGGUUACUCCACAACCUCCACAAUCUCCACUUGCUUCGAAGCUGUGAAGAUUGCAAGUCCACUUUGUGUUUUUCAGCCACUCUGUGUCAAACGGUAAGAGUUUUCACUGGCUGUUAAAACAGAAAGGACAAAGAGCCCCUCCUCUGGGUCUUCAGAAGGCUCCUAAGAUCCCCCAGACUGGCUAAGUAGCGACGCUCUAGUAUAGAUGCAUCUAGAUGCAGUAGAGCUAGAUGGUGGGAGAGAGGCUCUAGCAUGGACGUGACACGCUUUGACAGCAUCUUUUCUCUGACAGCAACUUCUGCCUUGGCUCUUCCCAUCAAGCCAGAGCAGUUUCUUGGCCUGCGCAACCUGCAGACUGACCUCUCGUGUGUAUCCGUGCUGGACUGAGGGUAAUGUUUGGAACACACACUGAUGCUGUAUUCACUAGAACUUUGAGAAGAGAGCGCAAGAAGCUAACCUGCAUACGAGUUUCUUAGGUUUCUGUAGAGAGAGAGAGAUGUACAUGCAUGCAUAUUUACUUCUGUCUUUACUUCUUUCAAGAUAUCUUUUGUUCUCCACAAUGAAUCCUCUGACUGUUACUAACGUAUGGGACACACCUUGACACUCUAAUGGCAUAGAAAUACUUUUCAGCUCAUCCUUGCUAUUGUUUCUGGAUUGAAAAAAUAAUUGUGAAUAUGAUUACCUGCUUGGAAUCUUUUUUUUUUUUUUUUUUUUUUUUUAGUAUAUAUCUAUUCUAUUAUGAAAUCCUAUAAAAAGGAGUGAACUCAAGAGGAAAAAAAAAAAAAGAAAACAAUUUUAUAUCCACUUCUAAAUUAGCUCAACAAAUGAAACAGUAAAAAAUGCACAUAAUA